rnacentral:misc_RNA from 1 species
AAGUCGUAACAAGGUUUUCCGUAGGUGCAACCUGCGGAAGGAUCAUUAAAGAGAUAGGGUCUUUCAUGGCCCGACCCUCCAACCCUCGGUGGUUGUUAUAACUACCUUGUUCGCUUUGGCGGGACCGUCUCGGUCUCCGAGCGCACUAACCCUCGGGGGUUGGUGAUAGCCGCCCGCCAGACGUCCAACCAAACUCUUGUAUUGAAAGCCAGUCGCUGAGUAUAAAAUUUUAUUCAAUAAAA